rnacentral:lncRNA from 1 species
AUGUAGAGAUUUAGAUGUGAUACAAUGCAAAUCAUUGUAAAGAAAAUGUGUGUAUUACUUUGUUCAAUAUAUUAAAUGUUAAAUAGUGUUUUAGUCUAUGUAUUGUUUAUUCAGAUAAUCUAUGGUGUUGCCAUAUAGGCAGUUGGGAUCCACACCCUUGUAUCACCCACAGGGGUGUAUGAUAUAUAGAUCCUUAUCACACUCGACGCAUCGCAAUAAAGACCUCAACCCCGUA